CUUGUUUCUAAUGAAUUUGUAGAAUGGUCUUGUUAAGAUUAUGCCUCUAGCUUGUCAGUCACCUUGGUCUUCCUAAUUUUGUCCCUACAUCCUUGUAUUUUAUAUUCCUCCUUCAUAAUUUGAUAUAAUUUCAUGUCAAUUCAACCUUCUAACAGGACCACUGCAGGGAAGUGCAAGGCUCAGAGGACCCUGUUGGUCCCCAUGCCCAGACUUUUGGAAGCCAACCCCCCACCCCUCCUGCAGGAAAAUGAACAGUCACCCCCUUGCCCAGUAGAGACAUCCACAUCUUAAUACCACCAGCGUAAGUAUUGCUUUUCUUACAUGUGCUGAGAAGUGAAAAUAAUGAAUACUGACAUCUAAACCACACAAUAGCCAAUUUAGCACUCAUUAAACAAAUGAGGCUGUUCAGGCCCUCUGCAAACAAUAGGUAAGGGGGAGAAACAUCUCUGCAUCAGUGGAAUUUGUUUUCCAUUGAGUUUGUUCUUUGCCACUGCAACAGCUAGAGAGAUUUUAAAAGGAAAGCCAAGACACUAAACUAGUUGAGAGGGUUGUCUGUGCCCCUGCUGACUACUCCUCUGUGCUUCCCUUCUCCCCAGGGCAGCGUGUGCAUCUUGCUUUAACGCUGCUGUAGCAAAUGCACUGACCUACAGUUUGGCACAUCAGUAGGGGGUCCCCAUCCUUGAUCCAGUUCUGCCAACUCUGUUAGCAGCACCCUGCUCAGGGUUAGAGGCCUGCCAACAGAUAUGGCCUCAUGACCCUGCCUUGUUAAUCACCCUUCCUCCAAAUGGAUUCACCCCUCACCCCCUGGAGGGUCACUCACCACCUUGACGAUGUCACCCUCCAGCAGGAAGCUGCUUUCCGGUGCUUCUGGAGGAAUGAGCUCUGGAAGUAGGAGAAUCCCCAUCAUUUGAUUCACCCCAUGCCUUGGGGGAAAGGUACCUCACCUGCUUGCAUCACCAGAGGAGUCUGCAUGGAUUCCAGCUGAAAAUUUCUACAAGCAAAUAGAGGGAAGCAGUUGCUUUUGACUCAGCAGGAUCUAUAGGUUUAGUGAUUAAAGACCAACAGACACAGGUGAACUCAGCCUAAGCUUUUGAUAACAGAGUUCCUUCUUACUGUGUUUGUAGGGACUGACCAGUUAUACAUAAAUUAAAUCAAAACAGAAGAUAGUAUAUGUUGCUUA